AAGCAUCUUCGGAUGUGUAUAAAGUGGCGAACGGCUGAGUAACACGUGGGCAACCUGCCCUUUGCACUGGGAUAGCCUCGGGAAACCGAGGUUAAUACCGGAUACUCCAUAUUUGUCGCAUGGCGAAUAUGGGAAAGCUCCGGCGGCAAAGGAUGGGCCCGCGGCCUGUUAGCUAGUUGGUGGGGUAGUGGCCUACCAAGGCAAUGAUGGGUAGCCGGGUUGAGAGGCCGACCGGCCAGAUUGGGACUGAGACACGGCCCAGACUCCUACGGGAGGCAGCAGUGGGGAAUCUUGCACAAUGGGCGAAAGCCUGAUGCAGCGACGCCGCGUGCGGGAUGAAGGCCUUCGGGUUGUAAACCGCUUUCAGCAGGGACGAGGCCGCAAGGUGACGGUACC
rnacentral:rRNA from 1 species